UACGUAGGGUGCGAGCGUUAAUCGGAAUUACUGGGCGUAAAGCGUGCGCAGGCGGUGAUGUAAGACAGGUGUGAAAUCCCCGGGCUUAACCUGGGAACUGCAUUUGUGACUGCAUUGCUGGAGUGCGGCAGAGGGGGGAUGGAAUUCCGCGUGUAGCAGUGAAAUGCGUAGAUAUGCGGAGGAACACCGAUGGCGAAGGCAAUCCCCCUGGGCCUGCACUGACGCUCAUGCACGAAAGCGUGGGGAGCAAACAGG
rnacentral:rRNA from 1 species